AAACUUUUAAAUGUCUAACUGUAGUUGCUAAAUGAGAAGUUGGCAGUUUGCUGAGGCUUAUGUGAGCAUGUUGCUUGACUUAACAUUUUCUCCUGUUGGGGAGGAAAAAACCUCUCCUCUACACUCUUAAAUCCAGUAGUUAGGGGCUGUGAAUUAAACUGAUUAGCAAGAGAAAAUGUAGAUUUUUAUUCACAUCUGUACACAAAAGUGUUACUCAACGAGGCAGAAUUCAGGACUGAUAUGCCAUCUUAAUAAGGGGAGGGGAGAAAGGGCACUUAGGGGAAAACAAAUGUCUUUCAGAAAGGAUAAAGAGGUUCCUAGGAGAAAGGAGGGAGAUAUGACAGUUUUGUGACAAUGUCUGCUUAGUUGUGGUACCAAAAGUCCCAGGGGGAGGAUUUGUAACAGUUGAGCUCUUGGGAGAGGUUCUCCUUUUAGGCAGAUAAGGGGAGUUCAGAAAAGCCUCUUCCUGCAUCUGUUGACUCUCAAAUGCCCUUAGCUCAAAAUAAUUGUUAUGCCACAGUGGUGUGUUCUGGACCCCUUUAUUUCCCCAUUUAAAACUUCCCAAGGUGUAUCAAGGAGCAGAAGCUGAAAUAGUGGCUAUGGAGAAAGGAUUCAGGUUAGAAGCUGGGAGGUAAGAGAGAUGCAAAAGGAAAGAAGGCAUAGAUUUAUGGAGAAAGAAAAGGAAAAAAACUAGUAGUUGGAGUGGAUUAUAAACUCAGUUUCUUGAGUUCAGAAAGCAGUCAGUCCAAAUGAUUUCUAGAUGAAAUGGCAGAGUCACGAUGGCAGUGGCAAUGUCACAGUCAUGGGCAUUUCCUGGAGCUCAGAGGACCAUGUUCUGGUGAACUUCCUGAGUGGCCCAGACUGUUGGGAUAAAGCCUUUCAGGGUCCCUUCAGCUUGCAGGGCUUUAGGAAACAGGCAGUUCUAGUUCUUAAUGGUGCCAAGUCAGGAGGAUAGAAGAAAGUUGGAAAGGUUACUGACAAAAUGCUCAAGAUGGCAGGAUUCGGCUUUCGGAGAGGUGAAAAUAGCUCAAAGACAAUGAACAGGACUAGAAUCUGAUAAUCCACAAUGGUGGGUUAUAGUUUUCCAUUGAAACAAAAUUUCUCUAAAAUCACCCCCACUUGUAUCAAAGAUAAUUAAGGUAUGACUAUUUUUUUAAUUUUAUUUAUUUAUUUGACAGAGAGAGAGCACAAGUAGGCAGA